rnacentral:rRNA from 1 species
UAACCGUAGCCCAACGAGACUGGGAGUAACAACCUGGAAACAAGAUGCUAAUACAGGAUAACAACACUAGACGCAUGUCUAGAGUUUAAAAGAUGGUUCUGCUAUCACUCUUGGAUGGACCUGCGGUGCAUUAGCUAGUUGGUAAGGUAACGGCUUACCAAGGCAAUGAUGCAUAGCCGAGUUGAGAGACUGAUCGGCCACAUUGGGACUGAGACACGGUCCAAACUCCUACGGGAGGCAGCAGGU